CACGGGGUUGCGAGCGUUGUCCGGAAUUACUAGGCGUAAAGGGCAGGCAGGCGGAUCCAUAAGUUUAUCGUUUAAGGCGUCGGCUUAACCGGCGUAGGGCGGUAGAUACUGUGGAUCUGGAAUGCGGUUGGGGAAGACAGAAUUCCUGGUGUAGCGGUGGAAUGCGCAGAGAUCAUGAGGAAUACCGAAGGCGAAGGCAGUCUUCCAAGCCGUUAUUGACGCUCAACUGCGAAGGUGUGGGUAUCAAACAGGAUUAGAUACCCGGGUAGUCCCUGA
rnacentral:rRNA from 1 species